rnacentral:sRNA from 1 species
GAGAGUUUGUGGAAGAUGGCGCCUGUUGUGACAGGUCAUUGAAAUUAUGAGACUAUCAUUCAAAUGGAAGCAUUAUAGUUCUUCGGAACCAUUAUGAUCUCAAAAGGAAAGGAGAAUGAUACAGAUACACUGGCUGAGGUGUUUUGAGGUGCAUCGAAGUGUUCCAAGCUGUGACUUACCUUAACAUGUUCUUGAAGUACCAUGGCGUGGAUUAAAAGGAAAUUUGGUGAGCGGCCUCCACCUAAACGACUUACUAAGGAAGCUAUGCGAAAUUAUUUAAAAGAGCGAGGGGAUCAAACAGUACUUAUUCUUCAUGCAAAAGUUGCACAGAAGUCAUAUGGAAAUGAAAAAAGAGUGACCUGGAACUGGGCCCACUACCUUGGCUGUGACCUUUAUAUCCUUGGCCUCAGUGUUUUUUUGCCCUCCUCCUUGUGUAUAUCUUAUGGGCAGUGGAUGGAAGAAAAAAAAAGAACAAAUGGAACGCGAUGGUUGUUCUGAACAAGAGUCUCAACCGUGUGCAUUUAUUGGGAUAGGAAAUAGUGACCAAGAAAUGCAGCAGCUAAACUUGGAAGGAAAG